UAUCUCUCCGUACGGGGAAGGAUGAGAAGCUUCGACUAAGGUUCGAUUCGAGCGAAAGCGAGAAAGCGUUGCCGCAGGCAACGACCCGAAGGGCGAAGCGCGCAGCGCUGA
rnacentral:sRNA from 1 species